UUUGAAUGAUCUCGUGUAUUGAAUGCGGAUGAAUUCUAAUUACCUUUCGAAUUGAAUGAAAAGCAGUAAUCGUGUAGAUCAGGGAUAUGAAAAUGUUUGGAAUUGUAAUCAAACUAAUCAUUAGGGAUAUUGGCUUUAAAUGCAGCUAUUUUGAAUGUAUAUGAAAGUAGGUAAAUUUCGUGUUGCAUAAAAAAAAUCUUUUUUCAUAAAGCUUAAACAGUCGGUACAGCUUUAAGGCAAAGGAGGUUGUUUCAUUCGAGAGCAAAUUUUAUUAAAGUGCGGGAUAAUCUUUAUAAUUCUUCCAAAAUUUAAAAUUAAACCCUAAACUGCUAGCUGCCCAUUCGUACAUUCUAACUUUAUGAAAACUUCUAAGACGCAUUGAAAUCCGAACAUUUGGCGUUUUGAUUGAAUACGGAAGAAUAAAUUUCUGAAUAUUCUACAAAAGUUUCUUUCAAGUGACGAAAGUGCCAUAAUUAUGUAGAUUUUACUUGGUAUAGUCUAAUGAUAAAGGGAAGAGAAGUAGCUAUUUUUUUUCUUGUGCCGUUUCUGAAAAUAUGCAGAAUAAAUAUUUAAUUUCGCAAGUUUCUAGGGUUAAAAUAACCUUAAAAAUCAUUAAACUGCCUCAUUCGUACCAGGAAGUCUGUUUUGAAUCCAUCAGUUUUCACUAAUUUAAAGGAAAUGCAGCUUCACAGAAAUUAUCAACUAAACAAAUCCUGCAGUUAUUAGAGCAGCUCUGCCGACAACUCAGAUGUUUGUUGAAGCAAUGCCUUUCCCCCAUAUGUGGAAUGACUGCCUUCUCGGCUCUUGGCAAAAAUUGUGUUGAUAGCAGCCAUCUGGAGGGCCAGAUUUCCUCUCGGUUCCAUACAAAAGUAAUAUCGGUUGGACAGCUUACCUAUGUCCAUGCCAUUUUAUUUAGCAAAGACAAGACGUCAUCACCAGAACUGUUUUUUCAGUUCCAUGUACAUGCUAUUUCCACCAAUGCUGGAUGCGAGGAAGUAUUUUAAGAUGACAAAGUACAAGAAAUUUAAGGAAACAAUGUUGAAGAUGAUCACGUGAUCCAAGUGAUCACGGUACAACAGAUAAUAUGGAGCUUCAACAGGCGCAUAUUAGAAUUCGCAUCCUAUGGAAUCAGACUAACAGACCAGAUUUAUUGGAUGAUUUCUAAAUCCUGAAAUAUUAGACUAAGCUUAAUAUAUCAACUUUGUGCAAAAAUUACCGGAAUUUUAAGGACCUGCACAGUGAAUUGAAAGUGAAAGAAAUA